CAAAUAGUACAUCUUGUUUCCAAAAGCUGUUUUUUUGGCAGCUGGAAGAAGACACCUGGAGGCAGACACAGAAGGAAGAGCGAGCAAAAGAGCUUCCAGUUUGGGACUGGGCACAAAAUAAAAAUGACUUCUUGCCUGCUGGGAAGCUGGGUACAACCAUGUGAUGGAGUUUCACUCUUGUUGCCCAGGUUGGAGUGCAAUGGCGCAAUCUCGGCUCACCACAACCUCCGCCCCCCAGGUUCAAGCGAUUCUCCUGCCUCAGCCUCCCCAGUAGCUGGGAUUACAGGCAUGUGUCACCAUGCCCAGCUAAUUUUUGUAUUUUUAGUAGAGACGGGGUUUCUCCAUGUUGGUCAGGCUGGUCUCGAACUCCUGACCUCAGGUGAUCCGCCUACCUCGGCCUCCCAAAGUGCUGGGAUUACAGGUGUGAGCCACCGUGCCCGGCCAGCAUAAUAUUCUUAAGGUUAACCCACACUGUAGCAUUUAUACAAAUGGCCAAUAAAGGCAUGAAAAAAUGCUGAACAUCAUGAGGCAUUAGGGAAAUGCAAAUCAAAACCACAGUGAGGUAGUACUUCAUAUCCACUAGGAAGGCCAUAAAAAAAGAAAGAGAAAAUUAACAAGUGUUAGUGAGGAUGUAGAGAAGUUAGAACUCUCAUACGUUGCUGGUGGGAACAUAAAAUGAUGCAGCCACUGUGGAAAAACCUCAGCUGCUCCUCAAAAAGUUAAAUAAAAUAUUGACAUAUAACCCAGCAAUUCCACUGUUAGGUAUAUACUCACAAGAACCGAAAACAGGUCCUCAAACAAAUACGUGUACACGAAUGUUCAUAGCAACACUACCCACAGCAGCCAAAAGGAGGAAAUAACCCAAAUGUCCAUCAACUGAUUGAUAAACAAAAUGCGGUAUAGACAUACAGUGGAAUAUUAUUCAGCCCUAAAAAGAAAUAAAGUUCUGAUACAUCUACAAAAUAAAAUUUUUAUGUACCUUGAAAACAUUACACUAAGUGAAUGAAGACACUAAGGGAAUGUGCUAAGGGAUAGAAGAUGGGGUAAAGAAGCUAUGUGGUCCCUCCUAGAAGCUGGGUGGGUGCCAUAGAGAGGGGAGAGAGUAGAACUCAUAUUCCAUUCACCCAUACUUCACCCAUCCUGCCUCAGUGCCCAUGUGAUACCCACCUGAUGCACUCCCUGCUGCCCAGCAUUACAGGCAGGCCAGCCAGCCUAGAUGGCCAGAAAUAGGAAGUCCUCUUACUGAAACAAUUUCUCACUUCUUAUUUCUUUGAAGUAAGUGUAAAAUGUACAGAGUCAACCACUAGGCAAAAAAUGGAGGGAAAAGAAGCAAAACCACACCUGUGUUGAUUUCCCAAUUUUUUUAUCGUGGUAAUAUACACGUGACAUAGAAAUGACCAUCUUAACCAUUUUCAAGUAUGUAAUUCAGUGGAAUUAACUACCGUAUAUUCAUAAUGUCAUCAGCACCAUCCAUCUCCAGAACUUCCCAUCAAGUAACACUGAAACUCUAUACCCAUUUUUUAAAACUCUCCAUUCUCCCCUCCUGCUAGCCCCUGGGAAUCAGCAUUCUGUCUCUAUGAAUUUAACUACCUGAGAUGCCUCACAUAAGUGGAAUUAUAUAGUAUUUGUCUUUUGGGGAUGGGCUUGUUUCACUUAGAAUAAUGUCUUCAAGGUUCAUCCCUGUCAUAUUUCAGAACUAACUUCCUUUUUAAGCAUAUGUCAGAAUUUCCUUCCUUUUUAUGGAUGAAUAAUAUUCCUCUAGAUAUUGUUUAUCCAUACACCCAUCAAUGGACACUCGGGGUACCUCCACAUUGCAGCUACCAUAAAUAAUGUCACUAUGAACAUGGAUGUACAAAUAUCUAUCUGUGACUCUGCUUUCAAUUUUUUUGUAUAUAUACCCAGAAGUAGAAUUAGGUUAUUACUUGAUAUGUGUUUUCAUUCAGUUAGAAGAGGAAUUCAAUAAUGUAACCAACUUCUAUUGAGUAUCUAAUAGGUACCAGGUACUGGGCCAGAAAAUAGCUAUAAAGUGUUAUGUAUUUAUGAAUUAAAAUGAAGACUGCAGUUAGGCUUAAAAGGGAGGAAGAGAAAUUGAAUUGUGUUUCUUCAGCAGACAUAAUUAAAUCCCAAAGCUCUGAGCAUCGAUUAGACACUAGAAAUAAAAUCUGAUUAUCCCAGAGACUCAUUUUCAUAUACUUUUAUGAGUUGCCUAUAUGGCUGUGAAUUAGCCAUCAACCAAAAUGGAUUUGUUUUUACCCAGUAACAAACAAACCUUGAACCCAUUUACAAGUUUGUUACGAAGAGGCAGCCAGAGCUUUUGUUUAAUUGGCAAUAUAAUCAUGUACAUUAUUAAUGAUAAGUUUAUUUUCUUCCUAAUGCAGAAGUUAGGCCAUUAACACUGCAGCAAGUUACAAAUGUACACUAAGAGAGCCUGACCAAGUCAGCCACUUGCUCCGUGGUCCAACAUUACAGAGAAAUAUUUUUCCAAGACUUGUGCGAGGUUUUAUACUCCCAGAGAGGAACUUGCAACAGACUUCGGCGAGAACUGCAGCUACUAUGGCCAUCUCAACUCUAAGAAAAAGGCUUCCAAAAUUGUAAUGCAAUACAUGAUACACUAACAAAUUGAAAUUCAGGGCCCAGUCAUUCUCACAGAGUCAGAAAGAAAUCUUCAACAGAAAUCAGACAAAAGUAACUUGAAAAGUUCUCUCUGCCAUUGUUUCCUAUCAUAUACUUCCAAGCCACGCCACCUUCAUUUUCACCUUAGUACCACAAGGGUGUCUCCAGUUUCUUUCCAAGCAACAUUUUGAAAGGCAGUCUGAUCACAUCACUCCCUACUUAAAACCCCUUCCAAGCUUUCUACUGCCCUCAGGAAAAAGUCUGACCUUCACUCAGUUUCUAAGGCCCUAUAUGAUUUCAGUUCUUACAGUGAGCUGAGUGCCCCACUUCCAAACCUUCACACUUAUUCUUCCUUCUGUCUUCACCUUUUCUUCUCCCGGCUCACUCCCACUCAUUCUUCAGACCCAGCUUAAAGGGCCCUUCGUCGGAGAGGUCUGUUCUGGGCCCUACACUAGAUCUCUCAUCUGGAGAACCCAGAUGAGACUUAUGUGUUUUGCUCAUUGCUGCAGCUCCAGCACCAGAGAAGGCCUGGCAUGCAGAAGACACUACUGGUUAAAUCAAUGAAUCAUCUUCUACCAUAAUAUAUUCUAAUGAGAACUGAGGCUGUUGUUCUCAUAUAUUAGGAGCCCAAUGAAGGGUAAGUCUAUUGGACUCAUAUAAAUAAUGUAGUCUUCCUGAAUACUAUCUACAGGAGGGCUUCCUAAUCAUUUUUGUGCUAUGGACCCAUCUGACUGUCCAAUGAAGACUAUGAACCCCUACUUAGAACACUAUUUAUAAAUGCAUAAAAUAAAAUACAUAGAAAAAUACAUCUAAAGAAACAUUUAAAGAAAUACUUAGGGGAGGAGCCAAGAUGGCCGAAUAGGAACAGCUCUGGUCUACAGCUCCCAGCGUGAGCGACGCAGAAGACGGG
rnacentral:lncRNA from 1 species